rnacentral:rRNA from 1 species
UAUAAUGGGUCAGCGACUUAUAUUCUGUAGCAAGGUUAACCGAAUAGGGGAGCCGAAGGGAAACCGAGUCUUAACUGGGCGUUAAGUUGCAGGGUAUAGACCCGAAACCCGGUGAUCUAGCCAUGGGCAGGUUGAAGGUUGGGUAACACUAACUGGAGGACCGAACCGACUAAUGUUGAAAAAUUAGCGGAUGACUUGUGGCUGGGGGUGAAAGGCCAAUCAAACCGGGAGAUAGCUGGUUCUCCCCGAAAGCUAUUUAGGUAGCGCCUCGUGAAUUCAUCUCCGGGGGUAGAGCACUGUUUCGGCAAGGGGGUCAUCCCGACUUACCAACCCGAUGCAAACUGCGAAUACCGGAGAAUGUUAUCACGGGAGACACACGGCGGGUGCUAACGUCCGUCGUGAAGAGGGAAACAACCCAGACCGCCAGCUAAGGUCCCAAAGUCAUGGUUAAGUGGGAAACGAUGUGGGAAGGCCCAGACAGCCAGGAUGUUGGCUUAGAAGCAGCCAUCAUUUAAAGAAAGCGUAAUAGCUCACUGGUCGAGUCGGCCUGCGCGGAAGAUGUAACGGGGCUAAACCAUGCACCGAAGCUGCGGCAGCGACGCUUAUGCGUUGUUGGGUAGGGGAGCGUUCUGUAAGCCUGUGAAGGUGUGCUGUGAGGCAUGCUGGAGGUAUCAGAAGUGCGAAUGCUGACAUAAGUAACGAUAAAGCGGGUGAAAAGCCCGCUCGCCGGAAGACCAAGGGUUCCUGUCCAACGUUAAUCGGGGCAGGGUGAGUCGACCCCUAAGGCGAGGCCGAAAGGCGUAGUCGAUGGGAAACAGGUUAAUAUUCCUGUACUUGGUGUUACUGCGAAGGGGGGACGGAGAAGGCUAUGUUGGCCGGGCGACGGUUGUCCCGGUUUAAGCGUGUAGGCUGGUUUUCCAGGCAAAUCCGGAAAAUCAAGGCUGAGGCGUGAUGACGAGGCACUACGGUGCUGAAGCAACAAAUGCCCUGCUUCCAGGAAAAGCCUCUAAGCAUCAGGUAACAUCAAAUCGUACCCCAAACCGACACAGGUGGUCAGGUAGAGAAUACCAAGGCGCUUGAGAGAACUCGGGUGAAGGAACUAGGCAAAAUGGUGCCGUAACUUCGGGAGAAGGCACGCUGAUAUGUAGGUGAGGUCCCUCGCGGAUGGAGCUGAAAUCAGUCGAAGAUACCAGCUGGCUGCAACUGUUUAUUAAAAACACAGCACUGUGCAAACACGAAAGUGGACGUAUACGGUGUGACGCCUGCCCGGUGCCGGAA